GGGUACCAGUGUACAGACAGGUAACAGACAGGGGUACCAGACAGUGUACAGACAGGUAACAGACGGGGGUACCAGUGUACAGACAGGUAACAGACGGGGGUACCAGUGUACAGACAGGUAACAGAUGGGGGUACCAGUGUACAGACAGGUAACAGAUGGGGGUACCAGUGUACAGACAGGUAACAGAAGGGGGUACCAGUGUACAGACAGGUAACAGACAGUGUACAGACAGGUAACAGACGGGGGUACCAGACAGGGUACAGACAGGUAACAGACGGGGGUACCAGACAGUGUACAGACAGGUAACAGACGGGGGUACAAGUGUACAGACAGUGUACAGACGGAGAUACCAGACAGUGUACAGACAGGAAACAGACGGGGGUACCAGUGUACAGACAGGUAACAGACGGGGGUACCAGUGUACAGACACGUAACAGACAGUGUACAGACAGUGUACAGACAGGUAACAGACGAAGGUACCAGUGUACUGACAGGUAACAGACAGGGGUACCAGACAGUGUACAGACAGGUAACAGACUGUCAGGGGUACCAGACAGUGUACAG
ensembl:lncRNA